rnacentral:ncRNA from 2 species
UCAUAAAAGAUCAUGGUGGAUAGUGGAAGGGGGGUGAGAUUCCCCCGCUGCCCCGCAGCCGUGAAGGGAACGAAAGCCCGAGAUGCCACUCUCGCGAGGGAAUCGCGAGGGGAAGGCGGGCGAGUAGGCGGCCCCAAGCCGGAAAACCAAUCCACCGGAAGCAUUCCCG